rnacentral:rRNA from 1 species
ACGAACGCUGGCGGCGUGCCUAAUACAUGCAAGUCGAACGAAACUUUCUUACACCGAAUGCUUGCAUUCACCGUAAGAAGUUGAGUGGCGGACGGGUGAGUAACACGUGGGUAACCUGCCUAAAAGAAGGGGAUAACACUUGGAAACAGGUGCUAAUACCGUAUAUCUCUAAGGAUCGCAUGAUCCUUAGAUGAAAGAUGGUUCUGCUAUCGCUUUUAGAUGGACCCGCGGCGUAUUAACUAGUUGGUGGGGUAACGGCCUACCAAGGUGAUGAUACGUAGCCGAACUGAGAGGUUGAUCGGCCACAUUGGGACUGAGACACGGCCCAAACUCCUACGGGAGGCAGCAGUAGGGAAUCUUCCACAAUGGACGCAAGUCUGAUGGAGCAACGCCGCGUGAGUGAAGAAGGUCUUCGGAUCGUAAAACUCUGUUGUUAGAGAAGAACACGAGUGAGAGUAACUGUUCAUUCGAUGACGGUAUCUAACCAGCAAGUCACGGCUAACUACGUGCCAGCAGCCGCGGUAAUACGUAGGUGGCAAGCGUUGUCCGGAUUUAUUGGGCGUAAAGGGAACGCAGGCGGUCUUUUAAGUCUGAUGUGAAAGCCUUCGGCUUAACCGGAGUAGUGCAUUGGAAACUGGAAGACUUGAGUGCAGAAGAGGAGAGUGGAACUCCAUGUGUAGCGGUGAAAUGCGUAGAUAUAUGGAAGAACACCAGUGGCGAAAGCGGCUCUCUGGUCUGUAACUGACGCUGAGGUUCGAAAGCGUGGGUAGCAAACAGGAUUAGAUACCCUGGUAGUCCACGCCGUAAACGAUGAAUGCUAGGUGUUGGAGGGUUUCCGCCCUUCAGUGCCGCAGCUAACGCAAUAAGCAUUCCGCCUGGGGAGUACGACCGCAAGGUUGAAACUCAAAGGAAUUGACGGGGGCCCGCACAAGCGGUGGAGCAUGUGGUUUAAUUCGAAGCAACGCGAAGAACCUUACCAAGUCUUGACAUCCUUCUGACCGGUACUUAACCGUACCUUCUCUUCGGAGCAGGAGUGACAGGUGGUGCAUGGUUGUCGUCAGCUCGUGUCGUGAGAUGUUGGGUUAAGUCCCGCAACGAGCGCAACCCUUGUUGUCAGUUGCCAGCAUUAAGUUGGGCACUCUGGCGAGACUGCCGGUGACAAACCGGAGGAAGGUGGGGACGACGUCAAGUCAUCAUGCCCCUUAUGACCUGGGCUACACACGUGCUACAAUGGACGGUACAACGAGUCGCGAGACCGCGAGGUUUAGCUAAUCUCUUAAAGCCGUUCUCAGUUCGGAUUGUAGGCUGCAACUCGCCUACAUGAAGUCGGAAUCGCUAGUAAUCGCGAAUCAGCAUGUCGCGGUGAAUACGUUCCCGGGCCUUGUACACACCGCCCGUCACACCAUGAGAGUUUGUAACACCCAAAGCCGGUGGGGUAACCGCAAGGAGCCAGCCGUCUAAGGUGGGACAGAUGAUUGGGGUG